UCCCUGGUGGCUCAGAGGUUAAAGUGUCUGCCUCCAAUGCAGGAGACCCGGGUUCGAUCCCUGGGUCGGGAA
rfam:Ovis aries breed Texel chromosome 6, whole genome shotgun sequence.